rnacentral:lncRNA from 1 species
AUGGAUGCAGACCAGCCACAGAUGGCCACAAAUGGACACAGACGGAUGCAGACCAGCCACAGAUGGCCACAAGUGGACGCAGACGGACGCAGACCAGCCGCAGAUGGCCACAAAUGGACGCAGACAGAUGCAGACCAGCCGCAGAUGGCCACAAAUGGACGCAGACAGACGCAGACCAGCCGCAGAUGGCCACAAAUGGACGCAGACAGACGCAGACAGCCGCAGAUGGCCACAAAUGGACGCAGACAGACGCAGACCAGCCGCAGAUGUCCACAAUGGACGCAGAAGGAUGCAGACCAGCCACAGAUGGCCACAAGUGGACGCAGACGGACGCAGACCAGCCGCAGAUGGCCACAAAUGGACGCAGACGAAGACCAGCCACAGAUGGCCACAAAUGGACGCAGACGGACGCAGACCAGCCGCAGAUGGCCACAAAUGGACGCAGACAGACGCAGACCAGCCGCAGAUGGCCACAAAUGGACGCAACAGACGCAGACCAGCCGCAGGAUGGCCACAAAUGGACGCAGAAGGAUGCAGACCAGCCGCAGAUGGCCACAAAUGGACGCAGACGGACGCAGACCAGCCGCAGAUGGCCACAAGUGGACGCAGACGGACGCAGACCAGCCGCAGAUGGCCACAAAUGGACGCAGACAGAUGCAGACCAGCCGCAGAUGUCCACAAAUGGACGCAGACAGACGCAGACCAGCCGCAGAUGGCCACAAAUGGACGCAGACAGACGCAGACCAGCCGCAGAUGGCCACAAAUGGACACAGAUGGAUGCAGACAGACGCAGACCAGCCGCAGAUGGCACAAGUGGACGCAGACGGACGCAGACCAGCCGCAGAUGGCCACAAAUGGACGCAGACGAAGACCAGCCACAGAUGGCCACAAAUGGACGCAGACGGACGCAGACCAGCCGCAGAUGGCCACAAAUGGACGCAGACGGACGCAGACCAGCCGCAGAUGUCCACAAAUGGACGCAGACGGACGCAGACCAGCCGCAGAUGGCCACAAAUGGGCACAGAUGGAUGCAGACCAGCCACAGAUGGCCACAAGUGGACGCAGAUGGAUGCAGACAGACGCAGAACAGCUGCAGAUGGACACAAAUGGACACAGAUGGAUGCAGACCAGCUGCAGACGACCACAAAUGGACGCAGACAGACGCAGAUGGAUGCAGACCAGCUGCAGAUGGCCACAAAUGGAUGCAGUUGGAUGCAGACCAACCACAGACAGACACAAAUGGACACAGAUGGACACAGACCAGCUAUAGAUGGACACAAAUGGACACAGAUGGACGCAGACCAGCCACAGACAGACGCAGAAAAUCCACCCUGCAGCAGCUCCCAUGCCCUUCUCAAGUGCACCUGGAAUAUUUUCCAGGAUGCAUCCCACGCUAGCUCACAAAACAAGUCCUACUAA